rnacentral:rRNA from 1 species
GACAGAGGGUGCAAACGUUGCUCGGAAUUACUGGGCGUAAAGCGCGUGUAGGCGGACCACCAAGUCGGACGUGAAAGCCCUGAGCUCAACUCAGGAACUGCAUCCGAAACUGGCGGUCUGGAGUAGUGGAGAGGAAAGCAGAAUUCCUGGUGUAGAGGUGAAAUUCGUAGAUAUCAGGAGGAACACCGGUGGCGAAGGCGGCUUUCUGGACACUUACUGACGCUGAGACGCGAAAGCGUGGGGGAGCAAACAGG